CAGAUUGUGGCUGAAGCUGAAUUUUAUGAGCCUUCCCCCAGACGCUAUCAAACCAAAUAUGACCAGGCUCUCUAUGGGAGAAAAAACGUAUGGAACUGGCAGGCCUCCGCAGCUCCUCUUUGUCCUCUAUGCAGUUGCUACUCUGAUCAAGGCUGACAGUUUGUCACACACUACUACUGCAGAGGCCAGAGCAUUUUGAAAGGCAAGAAACAGAACGGAAAUGGAGAGGAGAGCCCAGCAUGACUUGCGCCGUGCCAAAGGAAUACGUGGAAAUAUCUUGAAAGAGCCAGGUUGGUCCAGACCUGCUGGCAAGCCUGCAGCCCCAUCCACCGAUUACCUAAUACACUUGUGACAUCUGCUUUCCUUGUUGUGAGAAAACACAGGGAGGAAGUGUGUGCAGAAGGGGUGAUGCCUGACCUACACACCCGGCAAUACCAGAAGUUUCACUACCUUCCGUUGGUAAACGCUUCAGGGAAGGCUCUGCAACCCUGAACGUGUUUUAUUGUAGAACCUCACUAGGAAACUCAUCAGUAUUUAUUAAAGAUGAAUUAAAAGAAGGAGGAAAAGGAAAAACGGGAUAGUGAAGAGAAUAGAUGAAUGAAAAAGAAGCAAAGGGAAGAGAGGAGGAAGGGACAAAGAGGGCAAGAAAAGAGAAAAGAGAGAUGAGAGACCAGGACUUCCCACCUAACCUUACCAAACUUUUUCAGUUGAGCUUUUAAUGGGAUACUAUUCCCAAGAGGAAAUUCAAAAAGAAAACCACCUUGAAACAUCCUUGCUUUUAAUUGUACUCUUUCAACUGCCAGGAAAUUAAUUAGGUAAGACAAAAAGAAAAUUUUCUACCUUAAUAAAAAGAAGCCAACACCCAGGAACAACUGUCUUUGCUUGAGAACAGUGUUACGUGUACAAAGCUGCCUACAAAGUGUCUCCCGCCUGGCUCAGGCAAGAAACUGGGACAGAAGUCUGUGAUGUUAUACCAGCCUGGGAGUUGCACCAGGCGACACAGGGACAUGCCAGGCACCGCUCCUCCAGAGAGACUUGCCAGGAGUCUAUGCCAUGUACUCCAGCCCUGCAUAGAAUGAGUUCUGGAGUUCACCUGGAGCCCACGGAGAGUGGAUGUGGAACUUUUCUGUAGAACAUAGGAGCCGUCUGUACCGGCACAGCUUCAGCCAGCAAUAAGCAUUACCAGCUCCUGCCAGAGGAGCAAGAGGCAGGCACUGAGCUAUAGAGAUCCACACUCCGUCCCUCGUACAACUGCCGCUGUGACCACCUUCUCCUUUCUGCUUUAUUACGUCUGAGAAGCAUUUCAUAUGAUAACCUUCCCUUUCACUCUGGCCUGGACCCUUAUUGAAAAGGAAGAAGCAGUGGAAGAGAUCAGACAAGCAGUGUUGUUCGAGACACUUCCUAAUUCCCUUAACAAGGGUUAUGAAGUUUCGGCUGGGAAAAAGGACAAGGGGCAGAGACAGUGUUUAUUUACAGAAUGGUUCUAGAAGAGCUGACAGGCUUCGAAUGGCCGUGGGUUGUACGGUUUUGACAUUUAACAAUUUUAUUAACAUCUUUGCUUAUUAUUCACCUUAAUCUUCAGCGUCU
rnacentral:lncRNA from 1 species